rnacentral:lncRNA from 1 species
AAGUUUGAGGAUCAAGACUUUCCAUUUAUGGCAGGUUUCAGUUACAGGCCCAGUUUCCAUUUUGGGAAAUUCAUGAUCUGGCUUCAAAUUCUUCCAUGAUGGUGUUUGGCAUGAUAUAUGAUGACUAUUUGGACAUGAAUGAACUCUCACAAACCAAUUCCAAUCAUCCAAUCACUGAUUAAAUGGACAGUUGACCAACAGUUGACUUUUAGGGUUUCUGACUGAUUAUGCAUUGACUGAUGACUUCCAAACCCUAAUUCCUUGAGGACUUGACUUCAAAUGAUGUCCCAAGUUGUAUGAACUCUUGAUUAUUGAUCAUGGUGCCCAAAUUCCACAAGAAUGACCACCAUCCACUGCUUUGACUGACAGUUGAC